rnacentral:tRNA from 1 species
GCCUUCGGGGUGUAACGGUAGCACACUCAACUCGUAUUCGAGAGAUCCAGGUUCGAGUCCCGGCGAGGGCA